UCUCCAUAUAAAGCUGCCUUCUACUUCAUGUUCUCUCUCAAAAAGAACCCUAAAAAAGCGAAAAUAUACACCAUUUUCUCUCUGCAAAACAGAAAGAAGAAAAAUGAAGCGAAUCUUUGUGGUGAAGAAUACCCAAACAGGCGCUGCUUCUGCAUUUUCCAUGUCCAACAACUCUCUAGCUCCCUCUACUGAGCCACCACCUCAUCCACCACUCAGCAACACACAAAGUGAGCAUAGUAACCCAUUUCUGAAAUCUGGUCCAAGGCAACCGCAUCAGGUGACCCAUGUAGGCAACAUGAUGUAUUAAAAAAUUGACAUGCCAGGUUGCUGCAAGGAGGACUUGAAGAUGUGGAUUGAUAAUGAGAUGAUUCAUUCUUUUGCUGAUGCUAAGCAAGACCAGUGGCUGGCUUUCAGGGGUGGAAAUUUGGUGGGUCUUUUGCUUUGAAUCCUACGCUUUACAAGGUCACUGAGGCUAAGGCCGAGAUCAAGCAUGGCGUUUUCUUGCUUUCUGUGCCCAAGGUCACCACUCCAACAAAUGAAGUCUCCUUAUUUCUUGCAGUAGUAAUGGGUAUUUGUUUAAGUUCUUAGUAUUAUGAUGAUCCUGUUUAGUUCGUUUUUAUUUUAGGACGGAUGGAGCUGUUUUAUCUUGGAUUUUAAGAUACUUCUUUCUAUAUAUAUAUAUGCAAGAACUUGAUUAGUUAUGUUUAA